AAAGUUUCAAGCCGGAGAGCCGUUCACCUCAGUCAGCCCGGUCGGUCCUACUCUUCAGUCUCAUCUCGCUGGAAUAGUGUUGUCAUGUGUGAAGAUCUACACGAAAUUGAGACUUCUGGCACAGUGGCCUGCACUGUUCGAAGUCUGUAAGAUCAGUGCUGAAUUCAAAAUAAUCACCACAGUUCCCCUGCAAUCCAAGCAACUGUUGCUGAAUUGGCUGAUUUGUACAAGAUGCACCAUUUCUGAGGACUUCUGGCACAGUGGCCUGCAC